rnacentral:rRNA from 1 species
AGUGAACGCUGGCGGUAGGCCUAACACAUGCAAGUCGAACGGCAGCACAGUAAGAGCUUGCUCUUACGGGUGGCGAGUGGCGGACGAGUGAGGAAUACAUCGGAAUCUACUUUUUCGUGGGGGAUAACGUAGGGAAACUUACGCUAAUACCGCAUACGACCUACGGGUGAAAGCAGGGGAUCUUCGGACCUUGCGCGAUUGAAUGAGCCGAUGUCGGAUUAGCUAGUUGGCGGGGUAAAGGCACACCAAGGCGACGAUCCGUAGCUGGUCUGAGAGGAUGAUCAGCCACACUGGAACUGAGACACGGUCCAGACUCCUAUGGGAGGCAGCAGUGGGGAAUAUUGGACAAUGGGCGCAAGCCUGAUCCAGCCAUACCGCGUGGGUGAAGAAGGCCUUCGGGUUGUAAAGCCCUUUUGUUGGGAAAGAAAAGCAGCAGGUUAAUACCCCGCUGUUCUGACGGUACCCAAAGAAUAAGCACCGGCUAACUUCGUG